CGUAGGGUGCGAGCGUUAAUCGGAAUUACUGGGCGUAAAGCGUGCGCAGGCGGUUUGUUAAGAUAGGCGUGAAAUCCCCGGGCUCAACCUGGGAACUGCGCUUAUGACUGGCAAGCUAGAGUACGGCAGAGGGGGGUGGAAUUCCACGUGUAGCAGUGAAAUGCGUAGAGAUGUGGAGGAACACCAAUGGCGAAGGCAGCCCCCUGGGUCGAUACUGACGCUCAUGCACAAAGCGUGGGUAGCAAACAGGAUUAGAUACCCUGGUAGUCCACGCCCUAAACGAUGUCAACUAGGUGUUGGGAGGGUAAAACCUUUUAGUACCGGAGCUAACGCGUGAAGUUGACCGCCUGGGGAGUACGGCCGCAAGGUUA
rnacentral:rRNA from 1 species